GACGAACGCUGGCGGCGUGCUUAACACAUGCAAGUCGAGCGGAGCGGCGAACGGGUGAGUAACGCGUGAGUAACUGCCCCCCUCUCUGGGAUAACAGCUGGAAACGGCUGCCAAUACCGGAUAGUGGGGGAUGACUCGCGUCCUAUCAGCUUGUUGGUGGGGUAGGGGCCUACCAAGGCGACGACGGGUAGCCGACCUGGGGGGGCGACCGGGCAAAAUGGGCUAAGAUACGGACCAAACGCCUACGGGGGGCAGGAGUGGGAAAUAUUGCACAAUAGGGGAAACCGUGAUGCAGCAACGCGCGUGCGGGAUGACGGCCUUCGGGUUGUAAACCACUAUCAGAGAUAACGCGGUAGUGGCAGAAGAAGCACCGGCUAACUACGUGCCAGCAGCCGCGGUAAUAC
rnacentral:rRNA from 1 species